rnacentral:rRNA from 1 species
GUUAGUACCUACCCAACCUUGAUUUAUUUCAAAAAGUUAAGCCUGGUUGGACCUGGUUAGUACUUGGAUAGGAGACCACCUGGAAAUUCCGGGAUAGUUGACU